rnacentral:pre_miRNA from 1 species
UGCGAAGAAAAGCCGUUAGUGUCGAUGAGAUAUGUUUGAUAUUCUUGGUUGUUUUUUAGUAUCACCCAGGAAUCAAACAUAUUACCCAUCGACCGCGGCA